rnacentral:rRNA from 1 species
UACGAAGGGGGCUAGCGUUGUUCGGAAUCACUGGGCGUAAAGGGCGCGUAGGCGGCUCUGAUCGUCGGAUGUGAAAGGCCUGGGCUCAACCUGGGAAUGGCAUCCGAUACGGCGGGGCUGGAGUGUGGGAGAGGUUGGUGGAAUUCCCAGUGUAGAGGUGAAAUGCGCAGAUAUCGGGAAGAACACCCGUGGCGAAGGCGGUUCUCUGGGACGGUACUGACGCUGAGACGCGAAAGCGUGGGGAGCGAACAGG